UACGAAGGAUGCAAGCGUUAUCCGGAUUUAUUGGGUUUAAAGGUGCGUAGGCGGACUUAUAAGUCAGUGGUGAAAUCUCGUUGCUUAACAACGAACGUGCCAUUGAUACUGUAGGUCUUGAGUACAGAUGCCGUUGGCGAAUGUGUCAUGUAGCGGUGAAUGCAUAGAUAUGACACAGAACACCGAUUGCGAAGGCAGCUGACGAAACUGUAACUGACGCUGAGGCACGAAGCGUGGGAUCAAACAGG
rnacentral:rRNA from 1 species